rnacentral:rRNA from 1 species
GACGAACGCUGGCGGCGUGCUUAACACAUGCAAGUCGAACGAAGUGGCGGACGGGUGAGUAACGCGUAAUCAACCUGCCCUUCAGAGGGUGACAACAGUUGGAAACGACUGCUAAUACCGCAUACUGAGGGGCUGGUUUGCGUCUGAUUGGGGAGUUGGGGGGGUAACGGCCGACCAAGGCGAUGAACAGUAGCCGGUCUGGGAGGAUGGACGGCCACAUUGGGAAUGAGACACGGCCCAGACUCCUACGGGAGGCAGCAGUGGGGAAUCUUCCGGAAUGGACGAAAGUCUGACGGGGCAACGCCGCGUGAGUGAUGACGGCCUUCGGGUUGUAAAGCUCUGUUAAUCGGGACGCGGUACCGGAAUAGAAAGCCACGGCUAACUACGUGCCAGCCGCCGCGGUAAUUC